AGUACAAUUAUUGGAUCAUUAUGUGGUUAUGUAGACACAACACACUUCAUUGAUUAUUAAUUGAUGAGAAUAAUUAGCUUACUUAAUGUAAUGUGUUAGUAUUAAUGAAUUACUAGUCUAUAGAAGGGAUCUCAUUUAUAAACUAUUCAGAUAUUCUUCCUGAUCUUGGUGAUCAACACGGAAUGAAUGAUUGGCAUUGGGGUGUAAUUUGUAAUUUUCUG